CCGGGUACUGACCCGGAAGUGGUAAAAAAAACAAACAAACUGUAGCUGGAAACAAGAGAGAAAAACAAAAGAAGACGACGAUGACAAGGGUGUUAAUGAAAUAUAUAUUUUGUAACGUACAGCGCUGAAAACUCAUCCAUGUUUUCAGCCCGUUUGCUGCUUCUUAACUUGUUUGGUGUGUUUCGUAACAGGCGGACCGGAUACGUCGGUUCUCCCCUGGUUCUGUUGCACUGGGACAAUGGCAGAAGUCCGAUCGAGCUGAGACUGCAGCUCAGCGCAUGUGUGCAUGGAAACAUACUGAGUUGUGUCAAAACGUUUCUAGUUCGUUAAACAAAGAAAAAUCAGAGUCCACAUGAAUCAAACUCAUUUCCAUUUUGCCGCUUUUUGAGGCCGUUCUGUUUCAUUUCCUGUUUUCUGAUCUGAUUCUUCUUCACUGUGUUGAAUCAGACGAGUGUCAGAAAGGAGACGAGGCUGCUACUGAUGUGCUGACGAGCUGACGAGGAGACUGGGAGCAGGUGAGCAGGAAAAAGUGAAUUGAGACGGGCCUUCAUUAUGACUGAUCUGAGUCACUGGAGGAGAGAGGACACACAGCAUAACACAAAAACCUUCUGGAAGAUUUUUUUUUUUCGCUGGGAUCGUUUGGCUUUGAGGAAAGUCUCAUCUCAGGACUGAAGCUGUUAGCCGAUGAAACCGGGCCACUGGGUCGAAUCAACACACCGAUCCAGACAUGUCCCGGCAUGUCCUCUGGUGGUCCGUGGACUCCAGCCCCCCCGCUGUGUGGGAACAGAUCUGAUAUGCACGACUCGUUUCACUGUGUAUCUGCUCCACGAUGAACGACGGCAUUGUCGUCAUUUCAGCUGCUGUGAGAUUCAGAGACGUGGAGAGAAAAUCUGCAGGCGGACGAAGAUCAGAGACCCGCUUCAGAAACCAGAUUUUAACAAAAGUUUAUACUCAGUUUGCAAACAGAAGCCACGUAUCACAAAUGAUCAGCACUCGCAAGUUGGGAUAAAUCUACAGUUGGCUUAAAAGACUGUCUUUUGUGGAACAUGAAUAAAUGAACGUAAAGUCUUGAAUUUAUGUGAUUUAACAGAGUUUGUCUCGGUGAGUUCAUCCAGACAAAUAAACACAGAAUAUCAAAUAAAUACAUAA